CAGCAGCCACGGGAAUACGUAGGUGGCAAGCGUUGUCCGGAAUUAUUGGGCGUAAAGGGCUCGCAGGCGGUUUCUUAAGUCUGAUGUGAAAGCCCCCGGCUCAACCGGGGAGGGUCAUUGGAAACUGGGAAACUCGAGUGCAGAAGAGGAGAGUGGAAUUCCACGUGUAGCGGUGAAAUGCGUAGAGAUGUGGAGGAACACCAGUGGCGAAGGCGACUCUCUGGUCUGUAACUGACGCUGAGGAGCGAAAGCGUGGGGAGCGAACAGGAUUAGAUACCCCGGUAGUCCCUGUCUCUUAUAC
rnacentral:rRNA from 1 species